rnacentral:lncRNA from 1 species
AACUUGCCAUUGAAUCAUUUAAUAACUAAUUAAAAGUCCGGGAUAAAACAUGCUGUCUACAGCUUUCUGGCAAACAUCCCACUGACUUCAGCAGAGCCAAGAUUUUACCCUUUCCUUGACUGCAGAGCUUGUUUGUUGUCACAUCUUUUACUUUAGCUGUUCUGCGUGGGUUAUGCUAGAUUUUUUUCUCUUAGAUAUGUGUUUUCUUUUCCUUUUGUCAAAUAUUCUCACUUCAGCUCCAGGACAUAGGGUCAACAUGAUGGACCCCAAGUGGUAGUUCAUGACCAGGCUAGCUGUGUUUUGCCCUUGUCCUUUCCUGCUGUGAUCUAGGAGACGACAAGGAGUAGAUGAGAGGGUAGUAGGAUUUUCAGCAGGUAAAGGUCACCUCAAGCAUCACUGUUCAGGCAUGAACUGGACUUGCAUGUCUUUGUUGCCAGAGCUGAGUGGUGCUUACAGAGGUCCCUCUGACCAGCUGGAAAAAGGACAGACAACUGCAGCCUAGAGCAUCAGCUCUUUCACCACCCAGGGCUGAAUGCCAGGAGGAGAAACAGAAUCCUAUAUGUGUAUAUCCUAUAUGUGUAAAUGCUGCUGGUAACAGAAAGAUGUUCCCAUUCUGUCUGUGCAUAUUCUUUGGUAUGUAUUUCUCUGUCUUCCCCUUUUGUACUUACCAGUUGUACCCUCUGUAAUUUUGUUUUCACAGUCCAUCUUAGAAGAGACUUUUGCCAUUUUUGUCUGGAACUGAAUAACUCCAAGAUGCACUCCCACUGCCUGCUUGAAGUGUUUCACACACCUCUAGCGGCAAACCCUCUUCGUUGCCAAGACAACCCCGAAGAAAUACGAAAUCCAGAACAAUACCCUGUGUACGAGGAGCCUCGUAUUCUCUGGUGCACGCGUUCGUUUUGAAUGUCAAGAGAAACGCUGCCCUACCCUCCACAUCGACCCAGGAGAAUUGAGAAUGUGGAAGGAUGCCUGAAAGCUACACAGCAACAGGAGAUUACAUGCUUGCAGUUUAAGCCACCUGGCACCUUGAGCAUUCAUGUUCACAGCUGAGGGCUGCAACACUUACUAUGCUGUUCAUCUGAUCAGGAGGGCCUUCCUUUCAUCUGGUAAAGAACUUGGCUUGAAAUGGCAUGUGUUUGGGCUAGUGGACUGUGUGACACACAGUGGGGUGAGGUUUGCUGUCUGAUUUUCUAGUCUGUCAUGUGGUCCCUCAGAUGGUUAUCACUGUCAUGUGCAUGUGCUGAAUGGAUUGAUAUUUGGGUGCAUGAAGACUUGAGCAGAUCAUGCCUCUGCUCAGCUGCUUAAGGCCAUGGUAGCUGGUGUCAUGGAGACCUUUCUAGUGACUUUCUGCUAAAAUAAGGCCCAUCUGCAGGGAUACAAGUAAGCUGGUUUUUUGUACAUAAAA